rnacentral:rRNA from 1 species
GGCGAGAGACCGAUAGCGAACAAGUACCGUGAGGGAAAGAUGAAAAGAACUUUGAAAAGAGAGUAAAAUAGUACGUGAAAUUGUUGAAAGGGAAACGAUUGAAGUCAGUCGUACCGACGAGAAAUCAGCUCUUCGAGUGCGAACUUGUGGGCGUGCGUGAGUCUUUAACGGGCCUCGCUGUUUGCAAUGUUUGUGCUUUUUGGGUGUACUUUUUCGUAUGGUAGGCCAACGUCAGUUUCGAUUACCAUAAAA